GGCGGACGGGUGAGUAAUGCUUGGGAACAUGCCUUGAGGUGGGGGACAACAGUUGGAAACGACUGCUAAUACCGCAUAAUGUCUACGGACCAAAGGGGGCUUCGGCUCUCGCCUUUAGAUUGGCCCAAGUGGGAUUAGCUAGUUGGUGAGGUAAUGGCUCACCAAGGCAACGAUCCCUAGCUGGUUUGAGAGGAUGAUCAGCCACACUGGAACUGAGACACGGUCCAGACUCCUACGGGAGGCAGCAGUGGGGAAUAUUGCACAAUGGGCGAAAGCCUGAUGCAGCCAUGCCGCGUGUGUGAAGAAGGCCUUCGGGUUGUAAAGCACUUUCAGUCAGGAGGAAAGGGUGUGAGUUAAUACCUCACAUCUGUGACGUUACUGACAGAAGAAGCACCGGCUAACUCCGUGCCAGCAGCCGCGGUAAUACGGAGGGUGCGAGCGUUAAUCGGAAUUACUGGGCGUAAAGCGUAC
rnacentral:rRNA from 1 species